rnacentral:lncRNA from 1 species
CUUUACUGAACGUGUGUGAAUAUCUUGCCCCCCAUACCCUGUGUGUGCCCAUUGAAUCUCGGGGGGCUGAGGUUAUGGAACCUGGGCUUAUGGAUGGUUUUUAAGCCACCAUAUGGAUUUUGGAAAUGAAACCUGGGUCCUCUAAAGGGCAGCCACUGAGUCAUCUCUCCAGCUCAUCAGGUUUAUUUUAAAUGCACUCUUUUCACCAUUUAACAUUUUGUAAAUGUGGUUAUGUUAUAUUUACUGCCCAGCUCCAACAUUGGAAUGUUAGUGCUGUGAGGACAUUUCUGUGUUCUUUGAUGCAUCAUCAGCCACUAGAGAGUAAAGCAGAAAAUUCUCUAACAAAGUAUUUAGUGGAUAACGGCAGUCGUCAGGGAAAAGUGAAGUCUGUCUCAGACUGCCUCUGUGUUCUAAUGGUCCACAGCUAUAGUCACUUUAUUGUCUGGGAGACAGAAGAAAUGGCAGCACAUUAACUUAUAACUUCUUCCUCUGGUUGGAUGAAAUGGUUGAAAUUGGAAACCACCGAAGUUUAGGAAUGGAUGAUUAAUGUGUGGGUUGAUUUUGUCAACUGCACAUAAACCAGAGUCUUCUUGAAGGAAGAGGUGGUACCUUCAUUAUGGAACCCAAAUGGUCUAGCAUUUUCUUGACUGUUUGUUGAUGAAGGAAAACCCAGCUCACUAUGAGUGAUGCCAUCCUUGGAGUUGUUGACCAGUCAGACUUGCCUGAGAACUGGAAAAUGCAAGCAGAUGACUAUGCAAUGACUGCCUUCCAGGAACCGUCUCCACAUCCUCAGCAUCUGCAUCUCCCUCCCUCCCUCCCUCCCUCCCUUCCUUCUUUCUCUCAGAUGGUAUAAGCCUAACUGUGUCCCAGUGGCAAGCCAACUCCAUCCUUGGCCUUGGUACUUUGAGCAAGCACCCAAAGAUGUUUCUGCUGCAACAAAAGCCCAGUCACUAGGAUGAAGUCCACGCACAGCUAACUCACCAAGCCUCUGUAACUGCUAGCAUAAACUGCUAGUGUGGCUUGUAUUUUAUUCUAUUUUAUUUUUCCUGGAAUCUUUCCUAGCUAGUCAGAGGUCCUUCAAAAAUGUCGGAAUUUUCCUUCCAAAAGUAAAGAGGCCAAUGAUGUCUAUCUAAAUCCACAGUAUUCUAUGAAUUACAAGUACAUCUUUGCCUUGAACAAUAUUUUCAUGACCUCAUUUCUUUCUGUUAUUUUAUCCUGAUAGACCCUGGUUUGGAUUUUGGCAGUGCCCCUUUCCAUGGAAAUGAGGUGAAGGUUCAGACCCAUCCUACGAGCUGAAAGAGAUCCCAAGAGUGUCAUUUCACUCACGAGACAGGAACCAUCUACAGAACUCAGGUCACUUGGCCAGAC